CACAGACUCUGCUAGAGAGAAGUUCCUUGAAGACGGGCUCCAGCAUGAAUCAGAAAGCACAGAAGACUGAAAACCUCUGAUCCAGUCAAACAAGUCAAUCCGCUGGAGGGUUUCAAACAAAGGCUGGCUCACCACCUAUUGAAGAUCUUCUAAGUGACCUCAAAGAGAAACAGUUGUGCCGUACAAGCAUGUUGAUUCCCGUUUCAGAAAUCAAGCUGAAACAUUAGCUGCCAAAUCUCAGCACAAUCCUUUGCCAUCUCAGCAAGCUCAUCCUGAAUGCAGAUCUGAUGACCGUUUCAUUCAAUAUUUGGGCUUGCACAUUAGCUUGUGUGUGAUUAUCUCUCCUCCUUGGAUUCACUUGCAGAAUCCUCUCCAUGUGUAAUUUGGCCAUCUACAAGCAGCUACUAUUGCUCAAAGAAGAAAAAAAAUGGAGAUUCCAAUUGAGAUGUUUAAUAUACCUAAACAAUGUAAUUAAUUCAGAUUAAGUUAUAUAAAUAAAAAAUAAGCAACCCUAUCAACUCAUGAAGCACUACAUAAAACAGAGAUGAUAUCAGAAUGAAAAUGGAUGACAUAUCAAGACUUUCUGAUAUUUGAAAAAGAGAUUCAAGAUAAAUACAAGAGAACAAUUAGUAAGUGAAGGAUUUACUUGUGAUUCUUUUAAUUAUUAUAGAAUUUUUGAAAGAUUUAAAUUUUAUUUAAAAAGUUUUGUUUUCACAGGAAGUAAAUCUAAAUUGGGUGUUUAUUUAUGUUCUGGUGAUUUGUAAAGUAUAUAAAAUAUUAUUCCAGAUGAAUCUGGAAGAUGAAUACGGUAAAAAUUGCAUGGUAAAAUGGACAAAAAAUGGGUAUAACUCAAUGCUAGCUAAAUGGGAGAAUGUAUGGAUGAAUGGAUUAAAAUUAACAUUAAAUUAUAGUUUGAAAGAAUUUUUUUAUAAAACAAUGUAUCGUUGAUAUUUGACCCCAAAUAGACUAUGUAGAAAGGGUUUUCUAAUAAGUGUUGGAAAUGUAGUUAAAAUCAAGGUUAAUUUUAUCAUAUGUGGUGGUCUUGCAAAUAUGUGAAAACAUACUGGAUAUACAUAACAAUGACAAUGCAGAAAAUAUUUAAGAUACAAAUAUUAAUGAAACCUGAAGCUUUUCUUUUAGAUAUGAUGGAUUAGCCAACUGAAAAACAAUUUGUCAUGCUAUUCCUGUACAUGGUGAUAGCUACAAGGAUUGUACUUGCAAAACACUGGAAAGAAAAAGGGAUACCAACCAUUAAAAAAUGGAUUUUGAAACUGACUGAAUUAGCAAAGAUGGCGAAAUUAACUGCUUUGAUUACAGAUAAUGAACUAGACAGCUUUAUAAGAGACUGGAAACUGUUUGUGGACUUCGUACGCAUUAAAUACCACAACAGAUGGCUAACAACGAUUUGAAGAUUAGUGUAAUGUUUAGCUUAACCUGUUGACUGCUUUUUCAUAUAUAUAGAUUCUACAUGUUAAAUGUUAAAUUUA